rnacentral:rRNA from 1 species
UACGUAGGGAGCGAGCGUUGUCCGGAAUCAUUGGGCGUAAAGAGCAUGUAGGUGGAUCAAUUAGUCUGCUGUGAAAGUCAAAGGCUCAACCUUUGAAAGCCGGUGGAUACUGUUGAUCUAGAGUACGGAAGAGGCGAGUGGAAUUCCUGGUGUAGCGGUGGAAUGCGCAGAUAUCAGGAGGAACACCAACGGCGAAGGCAGCUCUCGUGGGACGUUACUGACGCUGAGACGCGAAAGCCGUGGGGAGCAAACAGG